GAAUCAUCACAUAACAAUUGCGAAAUUUAAAGUAGAGAAUUUAUCCUUAGCUCAAAUAAGAUAUUUGAAACUUAUAUAAACUUUUCACGCAAACUUUCAUGUAAAUUGUUUAUGGUUUAGAUUAUGUAGUUAAUGGAUUAAAAUAUAACCCGUUCAAAAUAAUACUUAAAAACUUAAAUAUACAUACUUUUCUAUUGUUUUUAAAGUAUACAAUGAACUUUUUGAAAUGAUUACUAAAUAUACUUAUAUAAUUAUAAUUAUAUAAUGAUUAAAAUAUUAAUAUAUAACUUGAUUGGUAUUAAUAUGAGUAAUAUGGAAUAAAAAAAUGGAAAGAGAUGAAAGAAAAGAAAAAAAAAAACAAAAAGUCAAACUCUUUCUUGUUCUUUUUCUAAUGAAUAACGUUUAGAAAAUCCCGACCACCGCUUCCACCGCGAAUUCACCGUCGUUCUCCGCCGGAGAACCCCCUCCCCCCUCCCUUCCUCCCGACCACCUGAUUCAAACCCCCGUCCUCUCCCCUCAUGACUAUCCACCACAAUUCUUUUCCGCCAAAACUGAUUCUUCAUCCUUUUCCAAAAGUAAGGAAUUGAUGAAAUCCUUUAACCCCCUACUGGACCCCCUACUGGUGUUGUUGCUCAGCAUCCCCCAAAUGUUCCUUCAUGUGCUAGUUCUCCACUAGUACUUGAAAAAACGCAAAUUACUCUCUUGAAGCAUUUAACUACUCUUCCUAGAUCUGAAUCUCAAAAUCCUACCAAAAAAAUCACCUACCCUCUUCUAGUAAAGAUCCUCAAAACCUUAUCCCUUUGAACCCAAAAUCGUCAUCCCCACUUCACACAAACAAAACCUCAUAGCCAAAUAAACUCCACAACCUCCGACACCAUUACUGAAAACUUUCCUCCAGUCAUUCAAGCUCCGACCAUCGCCCCUCCCCCACCCACUCAAAAUCCAUACCAAUCAACUAUUAGUACCCGCUCACUUGUCCAAAGGUUGCGCCGUGCAGAGGACAAAACCCUCCGUCAUCUUGCACCGGUCGCCUUGUCUGAAACCGUGAGACCUCGUAUAGUGACUCUAGAUUAUGUGUUCCAAAAAGGGGUAGAAAUGCACAAAUAUUUUAUUAUCUGCUAUUACAAUAGUAAAGCUCCACCAUUUAAUCAGAUUCAGAGUGUUUUCAACCAUAUGUGGGGUAAAGAAAAUAAUCUUGAAAUCCACAACAAUCUCCUCAACAGAUCAACAAUUGUCCGAAUACCGAAUGCGUACCUCAAAGAGAAAAUUCUGGAUAAGUGCAUUUGGUAUGUAUGCGAUUCGAUGUUUCACACUGCUCAAUGGUCAUCGGAAUACUCAGAGGCUACUCCCCCACCGAGAGCAAUAAAAAUAUGGUCUCAUCUCACCGGUGUUCUCUUGGACCUGAGACAUGAGGAAGGGCUUAGUCUAGUUGCAUGAUUAGUCGAAGAACCAAAGAAGACUGAUUAUUUUACAAAAAACCUCGUAAGCUUAACUCUCUCCCACGUCAAAGUUGAAGUUGAUCUCACUCAGCCCCUUCCAUCAGUUGUAGAAUUUAAGCGUGAAAGUAGAGAGGUAGUAGAAGUGCAAGUCCACUAUCCAUGAACUCCUCCGAUGUGCUCUCACUUCCACGAGCUUGGCCAUAUAGUCAGACAAUGUCUCCACUAUGUUCCUCCCCCUGCCUCCUCAUCCAAAAACUCUACUGAUCACCUACAUAAAAUCAUUGAAAAACCUAAAAAACCUAAAAAACCUUUCCAAGUCCCUUCUGCUAAGCCUCAGACUCCCCUCUACAGAAAGAAAUAUACAAACCCAAGGGGAGGAGCGAGAACGCUUUAAGGAAGGACGAGGAGGGAGUUCCGGAAGAAAGAGGAUUGAAAAUGUUUUGGUGUCAUCUUAAAAACUCAUAUAAAAGAACAAUUUUUGAACCCCUUAAUAUCCAAAGUUUGCCCGGAUUGGAACUUUCCUUCAAACCAUUCUGAGGAUGAGGAUGGACGGAUCAUCUUGAUUUGGAAAACCCUUGCCAUGAUUCAAGUGGUCUGUAAGAGUAGGCAAUCUCUCACCUGCUUGCUCUUUCUCCCAAACCAGCCACCUUUUUACUACACAGCAGUGUAUGCUUCAAAUGAAUCGGAGGAAAAAAUUGAUCUUUGUACAGAGUUAAUAGAGAUUCAAAGCUCCCUAAUUCUUGAUAGCCAUGCGUGGAUGAUUGGAGGAUAUUUUAAUCACAUCCUGUACCCAGUUGAGCAAUCUUUCCCUAUUUUCACCUCUCCUGAUAAUCAGAUAUUCAUCUUCCGUGAAUGUCUGCUCCAGUCGGGGGUGUUUGAUCAGAGAUACAGUGAGCCUAGCCUUACUUGGACUAACAUCCAGCCUGCAAACAACUCCACUGUCUUGUCCUUCCCUCAUGCCCACGCAACCUUCCUCCCUCAGAUAUUCUCAGACCACUGCCCUUGCCUCAUAGACCUAACUGUUACCCUACCCAAAGCUGGUACCCAACCCUUCAAAUUCCUAACCAAACAUCGUGGUUUCUCCACGGUAGUAAAUGACGCAUGGAUUCGCACCAGAAGUGUGGGAACCGAAAUUCGCACUGUCGAUUUCUAUUUAAAUAAGGAAAGUUAGAAAAACCCUAAUUUCCCAGAGGUCCCAGAUAUCUGCUAAACCAGACGCCAAAUAAUCAGAACACGAAAUAAAGACGAGAAAAAUAAGAAAUCGAAAAGAGAGCAAAAUAGAUCUUAUUCUGAAUUCGCGUUUGAGCGUUACAACAAGGUAAGAGCCUGGGAUACGAGAGCUGUCAGCAAGAUUUCUAGUUGUAUAACCCUAAGACUGCAAAACCUAAUUGAAUCGCAGCUCGAAUAGCAAAAACCUAAUUCAGUCGCAGCUCUAAAUGCUAAGUUUGCUCUGAAAAAGUUCUCUCCUUGUGCCCCUUGCCUAGGAAUCUUUAUAUACUCCUCCGAGGUCGGUUUUAGCUUUUCCCUUCCUGCCUUUAAGCCGUCUUAAGUUAAAAAUGGAGAUAUUCCAUUUUUUUCCGAUCUUCAUGUUUAUCUGCGAAAGAUUAACAUUUAUCUGCAGAAAUUUGACAUUUAUAUUUUCUUGCGGACUAAGUAUAAACCGCCAUAAUAUCUUUGGCCUUUUCCUUAAAAAAUCGUAAGUGGAUUUCUAAUCACGUUUGAGACCUAUUAGGGACGUCUUUCGACUCGAAAAGUUUAUCACGAUUUUUAUCGAUAAAAAUAGACUUUCCACGAUUUUUAUCGUAUAUUUUAAGUGAUAACUCCAAUCGAUGGGAGUGAGAAUGAUAUGGCUGCGGUACAGGGGAGCUAGCAUUGAGGAACAGAUGAGAAUGCACGAAUUUGGGUCAUACCCAUUGAUCGAUGUCCGAGACAGUUCGGUCGCUACGUAACGACCUGAUCCGCGCUGGGUCGGUCGCUAUGUGGCGACCUUGUUUGGAUCCUUUUAUGACGUUUUAUGAACGUGUUCUUGGAGUAUGGGUGCUCAGUUUCGAUGAAUCAACAGAGAUUAGUGCAAGAUUUCACCGCAAAGUUCUUCGUAAAGAUUUUUUUACGAGGAUUACUUUUCGUAAAGCGUUCAUGCCGAUUUUUAUGGAAUUUUUGAUGUUAACUUCGUCGUAUCCCUUUUGACCCCAACAAGAAGCAUAUUCUCAACCGUUACGGAGUUAUGUUAGAAGCUAAAAGUCAUUAAUAGAGAUCUAAAAUUACUAAAUCCAGAGAACAGCUCAAAAAUCCACGAGAGAGCGAUUGAAACUUACAAUUUGUUACAAAAUGUGCAGGUUAUAGCUCUUCAUUAUCCUUCCCAGCAGCUGUUCCAACAAGAAAGAAACCUCCAUCAAACUUGGCUUUUCCUGCUAGAGAUAGAGGAAGCAUAUUUCCAUCAAUAUAAAGGAUAAAUAGGUUUCGAGAAGGGGAUUUCAACGCCACCUAUUUCCAUAGGAUGUGCCAAGUGAGAGCAAGCUAUAACGCCAUCAAGUUAUUUUCCACCAGCUCAAAUAUCAUGAUCACCGACCUGUUAGAGAUGAGUUUUCCAGCGGUGGAACACUUCAAAUCUGUACUUGGUCCACAUUGGUAUUCCCCACCUAGCAUCCCCUCGCCUUCCUCCUGGUUUAUGGAUCACCUUGACUUCCAAUGUGAUCCUCAGCAAGCUCAAGCCAUGCUAUCUUUCUCUUCCUCUGAGGAGAUAAGGAAGUUGUUCUUCAAACUCAACACCAACAAAGCCCCGGGGCUAGAUGGGUUGACCUCUGGUUUCAUCAAAAGCGCAUGGGACUUUGUGGGAGAAGAAGCAAUUGCAUCUGUCAAACAUUUCUUCACAUAUGUUUUUCUUCCUGCUACUGCUAACUCGACUAUCUUAUCUCUAGUUCCAAAUUUUCCAGGAGCCUCAAAAGUGUCAGAGUUCCGGCCCAUUGCACGCCUAAAUACUGUCUACAAAGUCAUAUCCCGUAUUCUGGUUGCUAGACUAAAACCCAUCCUACAACAUUUGAUUCUACCGCGCCAAACUGCUUUUGUUAAAGAUCGUCUGCUUGUUGUGAAUACUAUUCUUUUUUUUUUAACACUUUGUGUAAUGUUGAAUAAAAUCUGUAAAGUUCAUACAUAGCCAAUAACCAGCAGGAAGACGUGCAUAUAAAUAAAAAUUGCAGAAAAAUUAAGAUACCAGUAGGCAUCAUGUAACAAGGAGACUCUAGUGAGUCAAAGAGAAGGCCUCAAUAAUAGAAAGUGAGGAUCCUUGAAUGUGUAGCUACAGUGGCAUUCAUUGGGCUUUAGCAGAGUGUACGUACCCCAAACUCAUGGUAUUAUAAAGUCACACACGAUGAGAUGAUAGCCACACACGUCCAUCGCCAAACUAAUAAUCUGAGCACUAGAGAGGCACACAGAUGCAUAAGAAUGACCAAAGUAACACAAAUAGGUUGACAUAGAACAGCGAAUAAGCUUGAACUGCACACUCAAACUGGAAAGAGGCUAGCAACAGAGAAACAACCCAAGAAGAAGCUUGACCUAUCAAGAGGAGCCAGAGCGGAACCAGAACAACACAAACACGACCAUCAAACAGUCCUACCUCGCAAACGAAAGUAGAGGAGAGGCCCUAGAUGAUGAACUGAAUAAGAGCACAACCUGGA